AUUGAACGCUGGCGGCAUGCUUUACACAUGCAAGUCGAGCGGCAGCGCGGGGGCAACCCUGGCGGCGAGCGGCGAACGGGUGAGUAAUGCAUCGGAACGUGUCCCGUAGUGGGGGAUAACGCCGGGAAACCGGCGCUAAUACCGCAUAUGCUCUACGGAGGAAAGGGGGGGACCCGCAAGGGCCUCCCGCUAUGGGAGCGGCCGAUGUCCGAUUAGCUUGUUGGUGAGGUAAAGGCUAACCAAGGCGACGAUCGGUCGCUGGUCUGAGAGGAUGAUCAGCCACACUGGGACUGAGACACGGCCCAGACUCCUACGGGAGGCAGCAGUGGGGAAUUUUGGACAAUGGGGGCAACCCUGAUCCAGCCAUGCCGCGUGCGGGAAGAAGGCCUUCGGGUUGUAAACCGCUUUUGUCCGGAAAGAAAAGGCAUCCCCUAAUACGGGGUGUUCUUGACGGUACCGGAAGAGUAAGCACCGGCUAACUACGUGCCAGCAGCCGCGGUAAAAC
rnacentral:rRNA from 1 species